CCUACGGGUGGCAGCAGUGGGGAAUAUUGCACAAUGGGGGAAACCCUGAUGCAGCGACGCCGCGUGAGCGAAGAAGUAUCUCGGUACGUAAAGCUCUGUCAGCAAGGAAGAUAAUGACGGUACCUGACUAGGAAGCCCCGGCUAACUACGUGCCAGCAGCCGCGGUAAUACGUAGGGGGCAAGCGUUAUCCGGAUUUACUGGGUGUAAAGGGAGCGUAGACGGCUGCAUAAGUCUGGAGUGAAAUGCCGGGGCUUAACCCAGAAUAUGCUUUGGAAACUGUGAGGCUGGAGUGCAGGAGGGGUAAGCGGAAUUCCUAGUGUAGCGGUGAAAUGCGUAGAGAUUAGGAGGAACACCGGUGGCGAAGGCGGCUUACUGGACUGUAACUGACGUUGAGGCUCGAAAGCGUGGGGAGCAAACAGGAUUAGAUACCCGUGUAGUC
rnacentral:rRNA from 1 species